GACGAACGCUGGCGGCGUGCUUAACACAUGCAAGUCGAGCGGUAGGGCCCUUUCGGGGGUACACGAGCGGCGAACGGGUGAGUAACACGUGGGUGACCUGCCCUUAGCUCUGGGAUAAGCCUGGGAAACUGGGUCUAAUACCGGAUAUGACUCCAUGACGCAUGUUGUGGGGGUGGAAAGCCUUGUGCGGCUAGGGAUGGGCCUGCGGCCUAUCAGCUUGUUGGUGGGGUGAUGGCCUACCAAGGCGACGACGGGUAGCCGGCCUGAGAGGGCGACCGGCCACACUGGGACUGAGACACGG
rnacentral:rRNA from 1 species